rnacentral:rRNA from 1 species
GAUGAACGCUGGCGGUAUGCUUAACACAUGCAAGUCGAACGGAAUACCUUCGGGUAUUUAGUGGCGGACGGGUGAGUAACGCGUGAGAACAUGCCUUUAGAUUGGGGACAACAGUUGGAAACGACUGCUAAUACCGAAUGUGCCGAAAGGUGAAAGAUUAAUUGUCUAAAGAUUGGCUCGCGUCAGAUUAGCUAGUUGGAGUGGUAACGGCACACCAAGGCGACGAUCUGUACUUGGUCUGAGAGGAUGACCAGGCACACUGGAACUGAGACACGGUCCAGACUCCUACGGGAGGCAGCAGUGGGGAAUUUUCCGCAAUGGGCGCAAGCCUGACGGAGCAAUACCGCGUGAGGGAGGAAGCUUUUUGGAGUGUAAACCUCUUUUAUUAGGGAAGAAUUGAUGACGGUACCUAAUGAAUUAGCAUCGGCUAACUCCGUGCCAGCAGCCGCGGUAAU